rnacentral:rRNA from 1 species
AGCAGCCGCGGUAAUUCCAGCUCCAAUAGCGUAUAUUAAAGUUGUUGCAGUUAAAAAGCUCGUAGUUGAAUUUCGGGAUUAGUACGCUGGUCGUGCCUUCGGUACGUACUGGUGUUACUGAUUCCUACCUUCUGACGAACCAUCAUGUCAUUAAUUUGGUGUGGUGGGAAAUCAGGACUGUUACUUUGAAAAAAUUAGAGUGUUUAAAGCAGGCUCGCGCUUGAAUACAUUAGCAUGGAAUAAUGAAAUAGGACGUUGACCCUAUUUUGUUGGUUUCUAGGAUUGACGUAAUGAUUAAUAGGGAUAGUUGGGGGCAUUAGUAUUCAAUUGUCAGAGGUGAAAUUCUUGGAUUUAUUGAAGACUAACUACUGCGAAAGCAUUUGCCAAGGAUGUUUUCAUUAAUCAAGAACGAAAGUUAGGGGAUCGAAGACGAUCAGAUACCGUCGUAGUCUUAACCAUAAACUAUGCCGACUAGGGAUCGGAUGAUGUUAUUUUUAAUGACUCAUUCGGCGCCUUACGG